CCUUGAGCUUCACGGCAGGUGGAGUUCGUGAGGUAUGAACGUGGCAGGAGGGGCUGUGCAGCUUCCUGCGGGGGAGGACUUCUCGCUGCUGGGCUUUGCUCCCUGAGCACAGUGCCAGUGUCCCCUCAGGGCCUGCAGGAGUGGCGGGGACCUUGCCCGGGGACUGUCACCCACUGGCUUCCUCUGACCUCGAGUGCAAAAGUGACACACAUUCGGCCAUCGGCGGAUUUGAGCUUUCCCUUUCCCUGGAUGGGCAUGUGCAGCACGACUCCGCCAUUCUGGGAACGCAGCAAGCCAGGCUCCCGGGCAGCUCCUCGAUCCCCAGGGAAGCCCCACUCAUGUGCCAGGUGCUGCACGAACCUUCUCAUGGUGCAGUUUUUGGAGAGUGAAUAUGAAGAAUUAAUACACCUCAGCAUCAGAUACACAAGUCCUCGAUGUUUCUGUCCUCUCCCUGUCACUGCACAUGAGGACACAGCCUUCUCCUUCCGGGACAGCAGGAAUAUGAGGAGAAGCAACAGAAUUGCCAGCAGUUUCUGCAGAAGUCAGAGGCCCGAGAUGCUUGGUGUAGAAGUCUGUGUCUGUGGUGGGCAUGGUGGAGCAGCAUUUCCUUCCCGUGAUGCUGCCCCAGGCCCUGGGGACUGCAGGCUGCUCUCUUGGACACUCAAGAUCAUUGUGGCCUCUGCGCUCUGGGUGGGGAAGCUGAUGUUCACACAGCGGGUGUGGUCUCAGCCUCUUGUUCUCACCUGGUCCUCGGCUUUCCAGACAGAGCUCCCUUGUCUCAGAGUGGUCAAGCAGGCAGCCCAAAGUGGCACUGCCAGGUGGGACUGAGGUGCCCCCCUGGGGUUCGCUCUGACUGCAGCCCACUUCAGUGCUGUGGGCCCAGAGGGAAGGAAGCAAUGUCUGGAAAGUGGGGCUGGAUGUUCCACAUUUAGUAAUUAGUGAACAUUGGUGGCUCUUUAAAAACAUGAGCAGACAAAUGGCUGAUGUCACAGCUGCCUCUUCAUGUGAGUUGCUCGUUCCCCAAGGCAGUGCUCACACCCCAGGUCCCCUGCUUCCCCUUCAUGAAGCAGGAGCCCGGUGUGAUUUCUGUCCUUGGGGAAAGCCGCAGAUCCUACCUGCUGCACCAUCCUUGCUCUUUGGGCUGUCAGAGCACUGAGCACUUGGGACCAACUGAGACCCAGGUUCGUCCCUGUGGGUCUGAAGUCAAGCAAGGAGGAAGGCACCAGCCCCGAGGCCCCAGCCUCAUUUGAAGGGAGGGCCUUGGAGGGAACCUGGAGGACAGUUUAGAAAGCCACCUAUUCUUGUGCUAUUAUUUCUACUCUAGAGCAAAAAUAACCCAUAAGAUAGUGCCAUUUAUGCUAUUUGUCUUGGCCAGAAGCUAUGUAGAAAUCGUGAAAGUAGCUAAUAUGUAUAUCCCACUUUAAAAUCACACGGCCAACAUUAUAGCAGCAAUCCACAACUCUGAAUUAGAGAGAAACAAGCAGUACCAGCCUUGCAGCCGCAAGCCUCUGGUUGGACCCUCUUGCAUGCAUGAAUCUGGAUGCUCCCAGUUCUGUCUUGAAAGCGUCCUUGUCGUCCUGCUUUGUGCUCUGUACUCGUCAUUGAGGUUUAUGCGCAGUAUUCCUCGUGUCUUUCUGUUUCUGUAUGUAUUUCAGCCAAUGCAUCAUUGGCCAACUUUGCUGCAUUCUUGACUCUUCUAGUUUGCCUCUUGGUUCCAUGAGACACCUGGUGCCUCCUGCUAUGGCAGGACCUUGGGGAGCCCUGUGUGUGGUGUUCAGCUUUGGCAGAGGACAGGCUGUGUGUAUUUUGUGACACGCUCGUGGAAAGAAACAUUGUUUGCUUAAUGUUAUAGCAUCCUUAGCUUCCCAGACUAAAUCUGCAUUGUAUUUGUCUCAUUUAUGUUGCAUAGCACAGAAGACAUAGUACCAGUAUCUCAGCAAUAAAUAAGAUUUUGAGUAGGCUUUUGUGAUAUCUCAGGUUUUGGUAGCAAGGUGAGCUAGGUUCCUAAGUCCUGGCCUGGAUGAAGUGGGUCAUCAUGAGGAUCCUGUCUUCCCUGGCCCCUGAGGGCACGUGGCCCCGAGCAGGCCAGCCCUUGUGCUCCCUAGGCUGUGGACAGCCCUUCUUGCAGCCCUGUGGGCUGCUCCUUGUGGCUCUUGGUGAUGGUGUUUUCUGGGUCAGCAGUCAUGACCCUUCCUCACCAUCCUGCCCCUCACCUGGUUGUCCCUGCUGCUGCCCCUCUGCAUCCUUCCUGACCUGCCUUGGCUCAGGGACACUUCAGAGACCUGAGCUCAGCCUCUUCGUGAGCUUGGUGUCACCAGGCUUCCUGUUCUGGGCUCACAGCCCCGAGGGCCUCCGUCCACCCUGGAGCGAGCAUUUCCCAGGGCUGGGUCCAGCCACAAACCCUGCAGUCUCCUGAUGCCCAGUGAC